rnacentral:rRNA from 1 species
GACAGAGGGGGCAAGCGUUGCUCGGAAUCACUGGGCGUAAAGGGCGCGUAGGCGGGACGCCAAGUCGGUCGUGAAAUCUCCGGGCUCAACCCGGAGGAGUCGGCCGAAACUGGUGUUCUUGAGGGAGGCAGAGGAGUCUGGAAUUCCUGGUGUAGCGGUGGAAUGCGCAGAUAUCAGGAGGAACACCAAUAGCGAAGGCAGCUCGCUGGGACGGUACUGACGCUAAGGCGCGAAAGCGUGGGGAGCAAACAGG